GACGAACGCUGGCGGCGUGCUUAACACAUGCAAGUCGAACGCGCCUGUCCUCUGGGUUUCUGGGGGGUGGGUGAGUGGCGAACGGGUGAGUAACACGUGAGUAACCUGCCCCCUUCUUCGGGAUAACGGUCUGAAAGGGCUGCUAAUACCGGGUAUUCACUGGUCUCCGCAUGGGGUCUGGUGGAAAGGUUUUUUUCUGGUGGGGGAUGGGCUCGCGGCCUAUCAGCUUGUUGGUGGGGUGAUGGCCCACCAAGGCUUUGACGGGUAGCCGGCCUGAGAGGGUGACCGGUCACAUUGGGACUGAGAUACGGCCCAGACUCCUACGGGAGGCAGCAGUGGGGAAUAUUGCACAAUGGGCGCAAGCCUGAUGCAGCGACGCCGCGUGAGGGAUGGAGGCCUUCGGGUUGUGAACCUCUUUCGCCCGUGGUCAAGCCGCGACGUGGGUCGUGGUGAGGGUAGUGGGUAAAGAAGCGCCGGCUAACUACGUGC
rnacentral:rRNA from 1 species